AAUAUUGCGCAAUGGUGGAAACCCUGAUUCAGCUAUGCCGCGUGGAGGAAGCAGGCCUUCGGGUCGUAAACUCCUGUCUGUUGGGACGAAAAUGACUGUACCAACGGUGGAUGCCACGGCUAUCUAUGUGCCAGCAGCUGCGGUAAUACGUAGGUGGCGAGCGUUGUCCGGAAUUACUGGGCGUAAAGGGUGCGCAGGCGUACUAUUAAGUGGGAUGUGAAAACCCAAGGCUUAAACAUGGGACUGCAUUCCAAACUGAUAGUCUUGAGUGCAGGAGAGGAAAGCGGAAUUCCACGUGUAGCGGUGAAAUGCGUAGAGAUGUGGAAGAACACCAGUGGCGAAGGCGGCUUUCUGGACUGUAACUGACGCUGAGGCACGAAAGCGUGGGGAGCAAACAGG
rnacentral:rRNA from 1 species